GGAUUGUUCACCCACUAACAGGGAACGUGAGCUGGGUUAGACCGUCGUGAGACAGGUUAGUUUUACCCUACUUUUGAAGGGUUAUCGUAAUAGUAAUUCAACUUAGUACGAGAGGAACCGUUGAUUCGCGUAAUUGGUAUUUGCGGCUGUCCGAUCGGGCAAUGCCGCGAAGCUACCACGCGUUGGAUUAUGGCUGAACGCCUCUAAGUCAGAAUC
rnacentral:rRNA from 1 species